rfam:Hyalangium minutum strain DSM 14724 contig_29, whole genome shotgun sequence.
GGAGAGCGCAUCGGGCCCGGACGAGAGGUGCGCCGUACCCGGUCACGACAAGACGACGCCUA